GGUACUGCCAAUGAAGAGGUCUACAAGAUUUUGAUUUAUGAUAAAUAUUGUCAAAAUAUUUUAUCCCCAUUGAUUCAUGUCAAGGAUCUGCGCAAGCAUGGUGUUACCCUCUAUUUCCUCAUUGACAAGGAUCGAAAACCUGUUCAUGAUGUCCCUGCUGUGUAUUUUGUUCAACCCAGUCAAAUCAACGUUCAAAGAAUUAUUGCUGAUGCAUCUUGCUUGCUUUAUGAUAGCUUCCACCUGAAUUUUU
rnacentral:misc_RNA from 1 species